rnacentral:tRNA from 2 species
GGGCUCGUAGCUCAGCUGGCUAGAGCGUUGCAUUGACAUUGCAGAGGUCAGAGGUUCAAGUCCUCUCGGGCCCACAA